rnacentral:tRNA from 1 species
GCCAGUCUGGUCUAGUGGUUAAAGCACCAGGCUAGAAACCAAGAGACUGUGAGUUCUAGUCCUGCGUUUGGCA